rnacentral:rRNA from 1 species
GCGUGAGUGAUGAAGGCCCUAGGGUUGUAAAACUCUUUCGGCGGGGACGAUAAUGACGGUACCCGCAGAAGAAGCUCCGGCUAACUUCGUGCCAGCAGCCGCGGUAAUACGAAGGGGGCUAGCGUUGUUCGGAAUUACUGGGCGUAAAGCGCGCGCAGGCGGUUCUUCAAGUCAGAGGUGAAAGCCCAGAGCUCAACUCUGGAAUGGCCUUUGAGACUAGAGAACUAGGGUACGGGAGAGGUGAGUGGAAUUCCGAGUGUAGAGGUGAAAUUCGU